GAUCUAAAAGUGAUGCAUUCCAAAGGCAAGGGCAGGCCUGGUAUGCAACCCUUCUCUCAUCUCGUUCUAUGAGUUGUUUGCUUCUUUUGUUUUCAUUGUUUUGGAAUUUGGAUCUCCCUCUUUACGCCUCCUAUCUUGUCACCCCAAAUUAGUUUUGAUUAUUUAGUUGAAGUUGUUGGGCAUUCUUCUUGUCUAUACGUUCGUUUACUUUUAUCCACCGGAGUUUAUAUCUCUGCAUGCUACAAUGGCGAUCCAAACAUAGAAGUAAUUUUUACUUGACAGUAAAAGCUCACCCACAGUAGCUGUAAUGUAAAAAAUUUAUUUUGCUUUGUUCCGAGCUUUUCUUUUCCCCUUCAAAUAGAAUGUGCGUGGUAAGGGAAACUUUUAUUCAGAUAUUGAGUUGAGAUUUAAUUUUUUGGGUUGCUUAGAGAUAUCAAGUUAAUCUCUGUGCUGUUGAAAAUAGUUACAUAAUAUGGUUUAAAAUAAAAUGUGCACAGUAAGGGGAAUUGCUUGCUAGAUUUUUAAUCAAGAUUUAGUUUCUUAAGUUGCUUAGAGAUUUAAACUGUGAAAGUAAAGUUGUUGAAAAUCAUUUCCAUUGAACUUAUUGAGUGGUGCAAGGUGAAUGGUCUUUGAACUUAGCCAUUGGUUGUUGAAGUAGCACAGCUUAGGAAUGCUUCAUUUAGAUUGAGAUUGAUGUAUGUGCUAAUAGAGUGCGAAUCACUUAUGCUGCUUUCCUUCCUCUCUAAAUUGUUGAUUAUCAAUUCUGAUUUUGCUGUGGCACUUGUGCUUGUUCAGUGUCAAGUGUCAACAACCUUACUGGCAGUUUAACUUGAUUGGUUGAAGACAAAGAGCUUAUUUUAUUCUUGAUGUUACUGAUUAAUCUGCCAGUUGGGCCAUUAUAUUGCUUGUGAUAGGAUUAUCUUGCUUCUAGGGUGGAGGGUUUUCUAUGCGCACGUGCGCGCGCGCACACACACAUAUAUUGAUGUGUAGAUGCAUAUGUAGCUGUAUACAUUCACUCAUGGAAAAAAUUUCUAAUCCAGUAAAUACUGUAAUCGAUGGAUAUGAGGAUUGAACCUUGUGACUUAAACAUACUUCACCUUAAUCAUAUGUUCUACAUUAUAAGGGAAAGAUUUUUUGUGGGGUUUAACUUCAACAGUAACCAGGCUGCAAAAUAUUUUAUUCCCCUCAUUUUCAAUUUUCCUUUAUGGUGUAUGAACUUUCAAAGGAUGCACUUAGCAUUUCAUCAAGUGGGCUAUUAUUGGGUGAAGGACCUAGCAUAAGUCUUAUACAUGACAUAUUAAUGGUUUGGUUCGUUUUACUCUGAUACAUGGGAUGUCUAUAUGCUGUUUGUGGAAUAUCCUAGAGGUUAUGUAUCAACAUGAGCUAUGCUACUUGCAUCAGACUAUGAAUACCAGAAGGAAACAUUCUUCAUGGUGCUUAUUAGAAAAGCAGUUUCAACCUUAAUGCUAAAGAGGCUGUAAGCAUCUUCUAAGUAUCAGUGCUUUUGCCUUAGAACUUGUCAAAGACUGCUCUAUGUAUUUUGAAAAGUGGAACAAGGAAUGCAUUACAGCUUCCUCUGCGCAGUUAAAAAAUGCAUUUUACUCCACAUAAGUGCUAACGGACCAUAAUGUAUGCCUGUCUGUCCCUAGAGACUCUGAAAGUGGGGUGUUCAAAUGGAUAUAUACCUUCUUGUGGACAAAUUUGCAAUAGAACCCAAAUCAAAGCAUGAUAAUGCCCAGGAUACAUUUGUGUGGGAAUUGUAAAAAGAAAAAGGAAAUAUCUCUAAUUCAUGCUUCUUUUUUGAUCUUUUAUUCACAUACGAUGGAUUGUAGGUUCUGCACCACUGGGCUUCCUA
rnacentral:misc_RNA from 1 species